UUUUUGCUCCCCCCUCCCCAGCAAAGAAGAGGCCGUGCCGGUGUUUUUCCACUCAGCAGGAUGGGUGAUGCUCAAAGCUCCCUCAUUAGACAACAGACACGAGAGGUCAGGAAGAAAGCGCUUAUAAAUUACCGUUUCCUCCCGCUCGGCGCUGCUAGUCGCGCCGCACCGCUCCGCCGGACGCGCCGCACGGGCGCAGGGAAGAGAAAAACCAUUCAGAAGAGACUCUUCUUCAUGUAA